AUUGAACGCUGGCGGCAUGCCUUACACAUGCAAGUCGAACGGCAGCACGGGAGCAAUCCUGGUGGCGAGUGGCGAACGGGUGAGCAAUAUAUCGGAACGUGCCCAAUCGUGGGGGAUAACGUAGCGAAAGUUACGCUAAUACCGCAUACGAUCUACGGAUGAAAGCGGGGGAUCGCAAGACCUCGCGCGGUUGGAGCGGCCGAUAUCAGAUUAGGUUGUUGGUGGGGUAAAAGCCUACCAAGCCGAUGAUCUGUGGCUGGUCUGAGAGGGCGACCAGCCUCACUGGGACUGAGACACGGCCCAGACUCCUACGGGAGGCAGCAGUGGGGAAUUUUGGACAAUGGGCGCAAGCCUGAUCCAGCAAUGCCGCGUGCAGGACGGAGGCCUUCGGGUUGUAAACUGCUUUUGUACGGAACGAAACGGCUCUUUCUAAUACAAGGGGCUAAUGACGGUACCGUAAGAAUAAGCACCGGCUAACUACGUGCCAGCCGCCGCGGUAAAAC
rnacentral:rRNA from 1 species